UACAGAGACUGCAAGCGUUAUUCGGAUUCACUGGGCGUAAAGGGUGCGCAGGCGGCCGAUUGUGUCAGGUGUGAAAGCCUGGGGCUCAACCCCAGAAUUGCGCCUGAAACUGGUCGGCUAGAGUACCGGAGAGGAUAGCGGAAUUCACGGUGUAGCAGUGAAAUGCGUAGAUAUCGUGAAGAACACCAGCGGCGAAGGCGGCUAUCUGGAAGGUAACUGACGCUCAGGCACGAAAGCGUGGGGAG
rnacentral:rRNA from 1 species